rnacentral:misc_RNA from 1 species
GAUGAAGAACGUAGCGAAAUGCGAUAAGUAGUGUGAAUUGCAGAAUUCAGUGAAUCAUCGAAUCUUUGAACGCACAUUGCGCCCCUUGGUAUUCCAUGGGGCAUGCCUGUUCGAGCGUCAUUUGUACCUUCAAGCUUUGCUUGGUGUUGGGUGUUUGUCUCGCCUUUGCGUGUAGACUCGCGUUAAAAUAAUUGGCAGCCGGCGUAUUGAUUUCGGAGCGCAGUACAUCUCGCGCUUUGCACUCAUAACGACAGCGUCCAAAAGUACAUUUUACACUCUUGACCUCGGAUCAGGUAGGGAUACCCGCUGAACUUAAGCAUAUCAAUAAGCGGAGGA